AUUAUUUUUUGAUGUUAAAAAUACACGAUGGAUACUUAAAUAUUGAUGUUUACCUUUUUUAUUUUGAUAUUUUAUGGUGUAGAUUAACCUAAGUUAAUAUAACAAUCAAAACAGUAGGGCAUGGAAUGGCAGAUCAACAUAAAUUUUCGGAUAAACUUUCUGGAUUUUGCCAAGUGAAGAACUCCAAUGAUAUACAUGUAGGGGCAUGUGUCCAAAGCUGAUCCACAUCAUAACAUACUGAUUGGAAAUAAUGACAUAGUACCAAAAGAUGUGCUUACACUGUAAUUAGCAGAUCUUCACAAAUGAACCUGGCAGAUCCUGGUGCAACCUUACCUUACCAUGUUUACAUCUAACCGUCAGUUUGAGCUGUGUGUGGGUGGUAACACGGACUAUAUACAUGUAUUGCCCAGUAAUUGUCUUGUGAUGGACCUUUUUAACAUAUCAAGUAUUUAAUUGAAGACUUUAGAGGUCAGAUUUCAUCAAAGAAUUUAAAAAUAAAGUUUUAUUUGUAAGGGUGAAUAUGUGGUUAUAAUGGCAUUGAUGUAUAUCUUGUGUCUGUUUUUUAAUCAGCCUUUCAUCCAUAAUUAUGAAUAUUAAGCAUGAUAAAGUAUUUUAAGGGAAUAUACUGUAGAAAUGUUAUGUUGUUUCUGCACAAGCAUUUGAAUACAAGAAAUUCUAUGCUCACUCAGCACUGUUUACACAUUGUCAAUAAAUUUGCUUGUUUUAGUUUCCAAAUCUGUCUGUCUCUAGCUCCCUGUGAAUAAUGUACUUUUUUACAUUGCAUCCAUUGAUUUUAAAUGGGGUGUAUUAUGCACAUGUCACACUUU